rnacentral:lncRNA from 1 species
AAUAAGUUAUUUACUAAACUAAAUAUUAUUUAAUAGGUCAUUUACUAAAAGCAUUUUCAAAAGAAAAUCUUUUCAUAUAUCAUAUAUAAAUGUGGUAUAAAUACAUUUUUAAAGAAGAAAGCUUUUUUAUGGAUAUGUGGCAGAUGCAGGCUCUAACAACAUAGAAAUCUCCAAUAUAUAUGUGUGUGUGUGUGUUAGAUAUAUCAGAUUCUAAAAGGGAU